rnacentral:ncRNA from 2 species
CCCCGCUGUGGUGAUGGAGUCCACCCUUAACCGCUUCGUGCUGAUGACUCCUGCAUUUCA